rnacentral:rRNA from 1 species
UGCAAGUCGAGCGCGCCUUCGGGUGAGCGGCGGACGGGUUAGUAACGCGUGGGAACGUGCCCUUCUCUACGGAACAGCCAUUGGAAACGAUGAGUAAUACCGUAUACGCCCUUCGGGGGAAAGAUUUAUCGGAGAAGGAUCGGCCCGCGUUAGAUUAGAUAGUUGGUGGGGUAACGGCCUACCAAGUCUACGAUCUAUAGCUGGUUUUAGAGGAUGAUCAGCAACACUGGGACUGAGACACGGCCCAGACUCCUACGGGAGUCAGCAGUGGGGAAUCUUAGACAAUGGGCGCAAGCCUGAUCUAGCCAUGCCGCGUGAGUGAUGAAGGCCUUAGGGUCGUAAAGCUCUUUCGCCAGGGAUGAUAAUGACAGUACCUGGUAAAGAAACCCCGGCUAACUCCGUGCCAGCAGCCGCGGUAAUACGGAGGGGGUUAGCGUUGUUCGGAAUUACUGGGCGUAAAGCGUACGUAGGCGGAUUAGAAAGUUGGGGGUGAAAUCCCGGGGCUCAACCCCGGAACUGCCUCCAAAACUACUAGUCUAGAGUUCGAGAAAGGUGAGUGGAACUCCGAGUGUAGAGGUGGAAUUCGUAGAUAUUCGGAAGAACACCAGUGGCGAAGGCGGCUCACUGGCUCGAUACUGACGCUGAGGUACGAAAGUGUGGGGAGCAAACAGGAUUAGAUACCCUGGUAGUCCACACCGUANACGAUGAAUGCCAGUCGUCGGAUAGUAUACUAUUCGGUGACACACCUAACGGAUUAAGCAUUCCGCCUGGGGAGUACGGUCGCAAGAUUAAAACUCAAAGGAAUUGACGGGGGCCCGCCCAAGCGGUGGAGCAUGUGGUUUAAU